UGCAAGUCGAACGGUAACAGGGAUUGCUUGCAAUCCGCUGACGAGUGGCGCACGGGUGCGUAACGCGUAUGGAACCUACCCUUUACUGGGGGAUAGCCCGGAGAAAUUCGGAUUAAUACCCCGUAGUAUUGCUUAGUGGCAUCACUUGAGCAAUUAAAGCUUCGGCGGUAGAGGAUGGCCAUGCGUCCUAUUAGCUUGAUGGUGAGGUAACGGCUCACCAUUGCUACGAUAGGUAGGGGCCCUGAGAGGGGGAUCCCCCACACUGGUACUGAGACACGGACCAGACUCCUACGGGAGGCAGCAGUGAGGAAUAUUGGACAAUGGUCGAAAGACUGAUCCAGCCAUGCCGCGUGCAGGAAGACGGCCCUACGGGUUGUAAACUGCUUUUUUACGGGAAGAAUAAUGCCCACGUGUGGGCAGAUGACGGUACCGUACGAAUAAGGACCGGCUAACUCCGUGCCAGCAGCCGCGGUAAUACGGAGGGUCCGAGCGUUAUCCGGAAUCAUUGGGUUUAAAGGGUCCGCAGGCGGGCCAGUAAGUCAGGGGUGAAAGUUUGCGGCUCAACCGUAAAAUUGCCUUUGAUACUGCUGGUCUUGAGUUGUGGUGAAGUGGCCGGAAUAUGUGGUGUAGCGGUGAAAUGCAUAGAUAUCACAUAGAACACCGAUUGCGAAGGCAGGUCACUAACCACACACUGACGCUGAUGGACGAAAGCGUGGGGAGCGAACGGGAUUAGAUACCCCGGUAGUCCACGCC
rnacentral:rRNA from 1 species